rnacentral:rRNA from 1 species
GACGAAGGGGGCAAGCGUUGUUCGGAAUUACUGGGCGUAAAGGGCGCGUAGGCGGCCCGAUAAGUCAGCCGUGAAAGGCCUGGGCUCAACCUAGGAAUUGCGGUUGGUACUGUUGGGCUAGAGAGCGGGAGAGGUUGGUGGAAUUCCCAGUGUAGAGGUGAAAUUCGUAGAUAUUGGGAAGAACACCGGUGGCGAAGGCGGCCAACUGGACCGUUUCUGACGCUGAGGCGCGAAAGCGUGGGGAGCAAACAGG